rnacentral:rRNA from 1 species
GACGAACGCUGGCGGCGUGCUUAACACAUGCCAGUCGAACGAAGUGGCGAACGGGUGAGUAACGCGUAAUCAACCUGCCCUUCAGAGGCGCACAACAGUUGGAAACGACUGCUAAUACCGCAUACUGAAGUAGGGGAUUGCGUCUGAUUCACUAGUUGGAGGGGGAACGGCCCACCAAGGCGAUGAUCAGUCGCCGGUCUGAGAGGAUGAACGGACACAUUGGGAAUGAGAAACGGCCCAGACGCAGACGGGAGGACGAAGUGGGGAAGCUUCCGCAAUGGAGGAAAGUCUGACGGGGCAACGCCGCGUGAGUGAUGACGGCCUUCGGGUUGUAAAGCUCUGUUAAUCGGGACGCGGUACCGGAAUAGAAAGCCACGGCUAACUACGUGCCAGCAGCCGCGGUAAUAC